GGGACUCGCCCGGGCGGGUUCGGCCGUGCGAGGAUGGCGGGAGGCAGCGGCUGGGCGAGGGGCGCCGGGGCUGGCGGCCGGUCUGGCCCCCGGCUGGACGGGCUGUUCGUGCGGCGGUUCCUGCGGCUGCAGGCUGUGCUCUUCCCCGGGUGGCCCUCCCCCAGCGCCCUGAUGUUCUUGACGCUGCUCUGUGUCGCCUUGCUGGAGCAGCUGGUUGUUUACCAGGUUGGCGUCAUCCCCAGCCAGUACUAUGAGGUUUUAGGGAACAAGGACUUCUCCGGGUUCAAAACGCUGACAGCCGUUGCCCUGACUCUGAUCGUAGUAAACUCCACGCUAAAAAGCUUCGACCAGUUUAUCUGCAACAUGAUGUAUGUGAGCUGGAGGAAAUCCCUCACUGAAUACCUCCACAGCUGCUACUUCCGAGGCCAGGUCUACUACAGCCUGCACACGCUGCGCGAGGACAUCGAUAACCCGGACCAGCGCAUCAGCCAGGAUGUGGAGAGGUUCUGCAGGCAGCUCAGCUCCAUGGCCAGCAAGCUCAUCAUCUCGCCCUUCACACUGGCCUACUACACGUACCAGUGCUUCCACAGCACAGGCUGGCUAGGCCCAGUGAGCAUCUUUGGAUAUUUCAUCAUUGGGACAAUCGUCAACAAGAUACUGAUGAGCCCAAUUGUAGCUAAACUUGUUCAGCAGGAAAAACUGGAAGGGGAUUUCAGGUUCAAGCAUAUGCAGAUUCGUGUCAAUGCAGAACCAGCUGCUUUCUACAGGGCCGGGCGAGUGGAGCAUAUGCGCACGGACCGGAGGCUGCAGAGCCUGCUGCAGACACAGAGGGAGCUGAUAGGCAAGGAGCUCUGGCUAUACAUUGGAAUCAACACCUUUGACUACCUGGGCAGCAUCCUGAGCUACGUGGCCAUUGCCAUUCCCAUCUUUUCUGGGGUCUGCGGUGACCUGAGUCCAUCAGAGCUCAGCGCCCUCGUCAGUAAGAAUGCCUUUGUUUCCAUCUACCUCAUUGGCUGCUUCAGCCAGCUCAUAGACCUCUCCCGUUCCGUGACCGAUGUAGCUGGCUACACGCACAGGAUUGGUGAACUGCAGGAGACCUUGCUGAGCCUUGGCAGAAAAAAAAGUGGUAACCGCUCAGAAGCCAAAGCCAGCUGGGAUUUGGACGAGUGGUGGCCCAGGAGCCAUUCUAGGGAGGACCCACUGCCAAGGGACACAGCCUUCCUUCUGGAGCGAGUGACGCUCUCGGUGCCAUCCUCUGGCAAGCUGCUCAUCAAGGACUUGAGCCUCAGGAUCUCACAAGGAAACAGUGUGAUGAUUGUGGGGAACACUGGCACAGGGAAGACAUCUCUCCUGAGGGUCCUUGGGGGACUCUGGGAGAGCACGCAGGGGAGUAUCAAGAUGCUGACCUGCUUUGGCCCUCAGGGAGUGGUGUUCCUGCCGCAGCAGCCCUUCUUCACUGAUGGAAGUCUGCGUGAGCAGGUGAUCUAUCCCCUGAAGGAGAUCUAUCCAGUUUCAGGAUCUGCAGAUGAUGAGAGAAUUGUGCGAUUCCUGGAGCUGGCUGGGCUGACUGACUUGCUGGCGAGGGCUGGAGGACUGGAUGAGCAGGUGGACUGGAACUGGUAUGACAUCCUCUCCCCAGGGGAGAUGCAGAGGCUCUCGUUUGCACGGCUCUUCUACCUCCAGCCAAAAUAUGCGGGUCCAGUGGCACCUGAAGAAGCCCCCUCUCGGCACACUCACCAGUUGCACAUAAAGAAGUGUGCAUGCUAGGAGCGUGGUGCCAGCUGCCAUAUCUGAAGCUUGUGAACCUCUGUAGGGUUGUGGAAGCAAUGUGGAAAAUUCAGCUGUAAUGAGUUAUGAGGGCCAGGGUAGGUGUGGGUGAACAGAACUGGUGUCAGUAGCAAGUAGCCACAUGUAAGUAGCUCUCCCCCUGAAGCCUAUGGUAUGGCUCAGUGCUGUCUGGGCAGAAGGAACCUCUGGAUUGCAAACUAAAAGCUGUAGGGAUGAUGUAAACCAAAUUGAAUUUAUCUGCUCCAAAUCUGCAGUAUUUAUCCUUAACUGACAGGAAGGUGCCUCAGACCAUCCUGGAUGUUCCAGGUAGGUUUGGGCCAGAGGGGUGCACAGGCUGCUGCUCAGCCCAGCGCUCUGGCACACAGCCUGCCUUGAGAAGGUUGCAUCUUGGCUUUCACAGCAGCGGGGACCAGGCAGUGGCUGGUAGCUGCUGAGGGGGAGGAAUGGGGUGAGCAGUGCUGUCUGGGUGUUAUCGAGGGCUUGUACGGAAGGGCAGCUUUUCCAGCUGACUGAUACCAGCUAUACCAGAGGAAAAUCAGAGUCCUUAGGCUUCUCCUCAGUUGCCUUCUGCAGCUGCCUUAACCGUGAACUCUGGUUAACGUGUGACAUGUUCUUGGCAGUUGUUGCUCUUUUGCCUAGGGGGAGAUGACUGGUCAGGAAAGCAUUUGUGGGGCUUACAACUUUUCUCUCAGUGCUAGAUGAAGCCACCAGCGCCCUGACCGAAGAGGUGGAGCAUGAACUGUACCGUGUGUGCCUUCAGCUGGGCAUGACGCUGAUCAGUGUGGGACACAGGGCCAGCCUGGAAAAGUUCCACAGCUGGAUUUUGAAGCUUCAUGGGGAGGGAAGAUGGGAGCUCACUCGAUGCGAGAAGAUGAAGCGGCUCCCAGCUGGGGAAGGAUGCUGAAAGACAUGCCCUUGUCUGGCCAGCCGCAGAACCUGCACAUGUGUGAGAGAGAGCUGAAAGCAGACGUGGAGCUGCUGAGCCAGCAGCUGUCAAAAAGGGAUUCAUCCAGUGCAAGACCACUUCUGGAUUUUGCUUAUGGACACAGACACAAGUCUGAACUCAUGGUGUGGGGUUCUGCCAGGAGCCAUCCUUCUCCCAGCCCCCUUCUCUUGCCUCCCUGCCCCUCAUGGGGGAAAGGGCUGAGCUACUAAGUUGCCUGACAAGAAGAUGCUGCCUCAUGGGGCUUGUAGAAGCAAUGGCCAGAGGAACCUCCACUUGUUAAGGAUGCAGUGGCACAAGGCUGGGAUGCAGCCUCCUGUUCUGCCCUCUGUGCCUUGCUAGGUCCUCUGCCUCUCUGAUACGCAGCAUUGCAGAACAGACAUCUGUACCUGUGGCUCAGUUGAGGGUUGUUCUCCCCAGCGGGAGCCAAGGGAUGCACUGUGAGGGCAGGACAAUGCUGGCAGAGAGAAAGGGCAUGUCUCUGCUCUCCAUAUGACACAGGAUUACCAGUCAAAGGAACAUUUUUGUAUUAAAAUCUGGGGCCUGUUUUCCAAUGAUU